AAAAGGUUUUCUACUAAUUUGAUAUACACGAAGUUUAUGCCAUAGAAGCGGACGUCAGGCCAUUGGGCUUUCAUAUGCAUCUUCCCGACCAGAAUGGGUUUGCUCUGUUCGGGAUGCACUUACCUUACUUUUAGCCAUGCGGAGCGGCUAUCCGCUUGUGUCCCAAUCUAGCAUGUAUAUUCCAUGCCUUAACAUUGAUUUCUGAACUUUCGUGUGUUACUUUGUGUCCAUGUUGAUGGAAAAAUCUCAAAAGGUAGAUGUAUAUUGUGAUAAGCAUUUAAGAAUUCUCAAAUAGAAAUUACUGAACUAUGGUAAUUGCUUACACCUUAAAAUCAUUUCUUCCAGAAAACAGGUGAAUUCUAGUGUUGGCUAGUUUACUCACUAUCUCAUAACCUCUCUAUUGGUAGCAAUUAAAAGUUAACUCUGUAACCAAACAUUCUAUUACAUUACUGUGCUGAAUAUGUUGAAAACUUAAACUUGGUACUCCUUAAUUCCUCUAGUAAUUAUUUUAAGCCUUGAGAAUAAUUUUAAGUUCACUAAUAUUCUCUGGAAAAGGCUUAAUUUGUUACUUUUCUUGUGAAUUGUAAUAAUAUGACAAAUAGGGAACUUACGAUGGACAUCAAGUACUGAAAUAGAGGUCUUGUUGGAAACUUGGAGCUUGGUGAAAUAUUUAUGGUCAAGGUUCACCUGGCCACACUGUCGUCGUCAAGGACAACCCUUGCCAUGGUUCAUAUAAUAUGCUUUAAUCUACCGAUGGAGUGCUUUAACUUACUGGUCUUGUGCAAGCUACCAUUCUUACCUUUCCCCUGGAUUUAUGUCAAGCUUUUGUACGUAUUGUCCACAUUUUAUGAACCAGUGUGACAGGACUUAUAAUUUAUUCACAAGAAACCCCUAAAAAAUUUACCGUCUAAUAGUCAUGUUGAUGGUUAUGCAUAUGACAUAUAAUACGCCUUUCAACCGUACACGUACUGAAUUACAUAUACUUGUGAGUCUUCCUAUCUCUUGAUUUCUUCGUCAUCAGCUUUUGUGAUACAUAGUCUUCAGUUUGAUUGAUAUCAUUGAAGUCGUUUUCCUUUAUUAUGCAGUUAAUAAACUUCUACGAGAAACACCUUCGGUAUAGUCCCACCUGAUAAGUGGGUCGACGUCUGGAAGAUGGAUGCUACAUCGUCAUGCCAUCUUCCAUUUUCAUCAUGUAUAGAUUGUUGUAAUUUUGUAGCUAAGGUCAAAGUACGCGGUAAGUACUGAUAUGUUAUAUGGGGAGGCUUGCUGAGAAACAAUGUGUAGCUCAACUUUACCUUUUGUGGCUUGUGUGAUGAGAUGGUUUUGUACAGUAUUGGACAGUAUUUAAGGAAGAAAAAAAGCUAGAGAUGUUGUAUGUUGUACUGUUUGUCAUGUGUGUCCAAUACUGCGUAUCAAAUAUGCCUCGUGUUAAUCACAUUUACUUUUAUGCAGACAUAUUUAUCUACACUUUUUGAAGUAAAAUUUAAGCUGAGAGGACGAAAGCCGGUACUUCAAAAUUUGUAGGUCUACCAUGAAGCUAGUCUCCUUUAAAUUUCUUUUAGCCUGUGAUGCUUACUUGCAGGAGAGGUAGUUCUGGUAGCAAAUUUGGGACUGCCCGCCUGCCUGACUAGCCCACUCUGGUCUAGACUGGAAAAGUUUAUGGGCCGUACCGGGCCUGUGCCCUGGUCCAACACAUCCUGGUUUACCCCUUUAGUUUCUCUAUCUUUUAUAUUUCUCUUUUGCUCUGCAACAUUUAUAAAAACUUUUGUCAGUGCCAAUUCAAGAACCCCUAAUAUAUUUAAAUUCAUUAAAGAUCAACGUGAAGAUACAACUCUUUUUAAGUUUUGG
rnacentral:lncRNA from 1 species